UUUGUCUCUUUUAGUAUCAUUAAAAUAGGAAGGGGGGUUAUUGUCUGUAUUUUAAAAUGAAUUGACACUUUUGAUCCUAUUAAUUUAGUUAGUCAUGAUGUCACAAAGGCAUUUGUCAAUAACGCUGUCAGUGGAGGUUGAUGGAAUACCAUUAAAACGUGACUAUGAAAACACGGCCCUCAGACACUUACACGGUCUUUGGGGGAUGUCAGAGGGGACGAGCAAGAAAGUCCUCGUUCCUGAUGGUAAUUGAGAAAUCUGAGGCACUGCUGAGGCUGGACUGCUUGGAAGACCCAGUGCGGAAGAAAAGACGCAGCAAAGAGGCCCGUCGACCACCUACUUUGAAACCAACCAAAAGUUGGUGAAUUCUCACUGUAAAACAUGGAUAUGAACUCUGUCUGGAUCAGUGCCACCAAAGGUUAUCAAUAAAUAGUUUGGAAACAAGGUUGGAUCCA
rnacentral:lncRNA from 1 species